AGUUACUGUGUGAUGAUUCUGUCAUUUGUUCUCCUGUCAACAUCAACACAACACACUGAGCUGAACAAAGAGGAUAAAUACCUCAUCUGACAACAGGAGCUUCCAGGACUGCAGAGCUUCAUCUGGGGUUUGGGGUCUUGAGGAUUCAGGUCUUGGUGGAGAGGAUCUGGCAGUCACAGAGAGACACAUCAGACACAGACUCAGUCUGGGUUUUGGUCCUGAUGGACCAGCAGCUAGCUGUGAUGUAGCUAACAUGUCCACAUGUUCAGUCUUCUUCUGUCGUCACAUGAACACAUGAAAAUAUAAAAGUGAAAAUAUUCUCAUGUCAUACUCCAUGGUGGUCUGUUCCUCUGUUAGAAUCUUUGGCUUUGUUCUCUGAGCUUUUUAAUAUUUGUUGAUGUUUUCUUCUUCAUAGUUUGACUUCCUGUUCAGUUUUCUUUGCAGAGUUUUGUUUGCUUGUGUCACUUCCUGUCUCCACCUGAGUCUGCUCACUCUCUCCCUGUGUAUUUAAACUGUGUGCUUCACCUUCAUCAGGUUGUGUUGCUGCUCUUUGUUUGGUCCCUGGUCUCAGUUCCAGUCUACUCUUACUGCUUCAGGAUCUCUGCUUGUUGUUCCAGCUGCUAGGUUCAAACUUUCUGCUGCUCUGGUCUCAGUCUGACUUUAAUAAUAAAAUCUCACCUCUCAGGAUCUGAUCCUUUAAAGUCAACAACUUGACCUUUUGAACUGUCACUCCUCAUGGAUCCAUCACUCCAGUCAAAUGAUUCAGACCUUUGGUGGAGAGAAGAGUUAGACAGUGUUACUUUGAGAGUAAUCUGUUACUGGUGUUAAAAAGUAACUUCUGUUACAGCACCACCUACUGAGACAAGUAGGUUAAAUACAUGAACACAAAGGAACUUACUGUCCUGUUGUGUUCAAAACACUUUAAGUUUGUGCAUGUAUUGUCCAGUGCAGGUCUAAACCAAUGAACCAACCUGUGUGUCAGGUUAAACAGGGACAGUUCAUGUACAUGCUUUGUGUCUUCAGUGAG
ensembl:lncRNA